rnacentral:rRNA from 1 species
GUGCAGCAGGCGCGAAACCUCCGCAAUGCGGGAAACCGCGACGGGGGACCCCGAGUGCCGUGGCAACGCCACGGCUUUUCCGGAGUGUAAAAAGCUCCGGGAAUAAGGGCUGGGCAAGGCCGGUGGCAGCCGCCGCGGUAAUACCGGCGGCCCGAGUGGUGGCCGCUAUUAUUGGGCCUAAAGCGUCCGUAGCCGGGCCCGUAAGUCCCUGGCGAAAUCCCACGGCUCAACCGUGGGGCUUGCUGGGGAUACUGCGGGUCUUGGGACCGGGAGAGGCGGGGGGUACCCCUGGGGUAGGGGUGAAAUCCUAUAAUCCCAGGGGGACCGCCAGUGGCGAAGGCGCCCCGCUGGAACGGGUCCGACGGUGAGGGACGAAGGCCAGGGGAGC